ensembl:lncRNA
GUUUUUAAUAGGAAAAGGAGGGACUUGAGGAGAGCUGAAAUAACCAGAGUCCAUUGGAGGAGACUGAGAACCCAAAGUAUGGAGGCUUCUUAUUGGUUGGACUGCCAGGCUCUGAUUGGCUGUCAUCUGGCAGACAAAACUUUUCUUCUUCCCGCUGGAUAGUGAAGUAAGCAACACCUUCCUGCAGGAGAGAACAAGAACAAGCAAUGGCGCUGGUCACGUAGCAAGGAAAUACCUGUGGAUUCCAACUGUAGACCCCAGCCAGAAGCUGAAUGCAACCUCUGUUUUGCAUCUCCAGGCCCCGCUCUUUCCUACUGUAUAGCAAGUGCCUGUUUAUUUCGUCUCUCCUGUUCUGCUAUAAUCUCUCAAGGAAGCAAUCUGUGUUUUCCAGACUUGUCUUCAGCACCCAGCCCAGUGCCUGCACAAAGUGACGAACAACUCCAGCUUCCUUCCACCAAGAAGCACUGCAUCUGCCCUGCCCUUCUCCAGAGACAGACAGUCCCCCAGGCAGCACCUUCCUGGGGCCACCGGACACAUCUCUGACACAAUGGAACUACCAAGG